CAGUGGAUACAUAAGUCCCUCAACACACUACAAAUAAAAUGACAUGGUCCUCCUCUGUAUUCCAGUCAAGGUCUACACUAUAGACCUUAAACAGACAGGAAGCAGCUUUAAAGUGUAUGGUAUGGCCACAGUCAGUGCUCACAGUCAAGUUCUCAUGCUGUCAUCCCUUCACGACAUGACUUGCAGAUGGUCUGCAGCAGAUGAGCCUGUUUUGGGUAACAUCUAAGUUGCUGAGGUCUGGAGUGUGCAGCUGUUCCUCUUCUUCAGUAGUCACCUGGAUUUUAUUUCCCUGCUCUCAAGACUCUGAUGAGUGAAAGAGUCUCGUAUCUUAACUACUUCAGAUGCACACAAGUGUCCAAAACACUUGGUGUACCAGUC
rnacentral:lncRNA from 1 species